AGAGAGGGUGGGGAGGGGGAGGGGAGGGAGGCGAUCGAGGCGUCCUGCAAGUUUGUCACCGCCAGGCAGAGACGGGAAGGACUGAUCGAGUGACAGAUGCCUCGGAUGGCUCCCUCUUCCUCCUCCUCCGCCCCCGAGGUUGCCCUUCGCUCUUGGGAGGAAUAUUGGAUGACACUGCAUUGAAGCAAGUGUUAUCACACACUUCCAGCACAUUUCUCCAUAAUUUUUUCUUAUCACAAAAUGUCUGAUCAUUUGGGGAAGUGGGUUUGAUACACAAGACCUCCUAAUCAAUUAUAAAUGUGAAACCUGAACUCACAGGCCAGAACAGAACUGAUCUGAUGGGUUCAGCCAACCUGCUU